rnacentral:rRNA from 1 species
UACGUAGGCAGCAAGCGUUGUUCGGAGUUACUGGGCGUAAAGGGUGCGUAGGCGGUUGUUUAAGUUUGGUGUGAAAUCUCCCGGCUCAACUGGGAGGGUGCGCCGAAUACUGAAUGACUAGAGUGCGGGAGAGGAGAGUGGAAUUCCCUGGUGUAGCGGUGAAAUGCGUAGAUAUCAGGAGGAACACCGGUGGUGUAGACGGCUCUCUGGACCGUAACUGACGCUGAGGCACGAAAGCGUGGGUAGCAAACAGG